rnacentral:rRNA from 1 species
CCCCGAAAUACGUUGAGGCGUAGCGUCUCGUGCUCCAGCAGGGGGGUAAAGCCACCAUUUCGGUGCGGGCUGCGAGAGCGGUACCAAAUCGAGAUGAACUCUGAAUACCCUGUGUGUAGCGAGGCAGUCAGACUGUGGGGGAUAAGCUCCAUGGUCGAGAGGGAAACAGCCCAGACCGCCAGCUAAGGUCCCCAAAUCAACACUAAGUGAUAAAGGAGGUGGGAUUGCCCAGACAACCAGGAGGUUUGCCUAGAAGCAGCCAUCCUCAAAGGAGUGCGUAAUAGCUCACUGGUCGAGCGAUCCUGCACCGAAAAUGAACGGGGCUAAGUGUUGUACCGAAGCUGCGGAUUUAUGGUAGGGGAGCGUUCUAUGUGGGGCGAAGCGUUAGCGUGAGCGGGCGUGGACUGCAUAGAAGUGAGAAUGUCGGCUUGAGUAGCGAAAACAUGGGUGAGAAUCCCAUGCACCGAAACCCUAAGGGUUCCUCCGGCAGGCUCGUCCGCGGAGGGUUAGUCUGGACCUAAGGCGAGGCCGAAAGGCGUAGUCGGUGGAUAACAGGUCAACAUUCCUGUACCGGUUAUGUUUUGGGAAGAGGGACGGAGAAGGCUAGCCAAGCCAGAUGUUGGUUACUGGUUCAAGCGUUCGAGGCGUUGAGGAUCGGCGAAAACGAUCCGAGCUGAGGCGUGAGUACGAGCUGCUACGGCAGCGAAGUUGGUGACGUCAUGCUUCCAAGAAAAGCUCUAUACCCGUUAAGACAUGAUUGCCAGUACCCGAAACCGACACAGGUGGGGUGGUAGAGAAUACCGAGGUGCGCGAGGUAACUCUCUCUAAGGAACUCGGCAAAAUGGCCCCGUAACUUCGGGAGAAGGGGUGCCACAGCAAUGUGGUCGCAGUGAAGAGGCCCUGGCGACUGUUUACCAAAAACACAGGUCUCCGCUAAGUCGCAAGACGAUGUAUGGGGGCUGACGCCUGCCCAGUGCCGGAAGGUUAAGGAAGCCGGUCAGCGUAAGCGAAGCUGGCGACUGAAGCCCCGGUGAACGGCGGCCGUAACUAUAACGGUCCUAAGGUAGCGAAAUUCCUUGUCGGGUAAGUUCCGACCCGCACGAAAGGCGUAACGAUCAGGGCGCUGUCUCGGAGAGAGGCUCGGCGAAAUAGAAUUGUCUGUGAAGAUGCGGACUACAUACACCCGGACAGAAAGACCCUAUGAAGCUUUACUGUAGCUUGGUAUUGUGCCCGGGCUCUGAAUGCGCAGGAUAGGUGGGAGACGUUGAUCUAGUGCUCGUGGGUACUAGGGAGUCAAUGGUGAGAUACCACUCUUUCAGAGCUAGGGUUCUAACGUUCACCCGUUAUCCGGGGAGCGGACAGUAUCAGGUGGGCAGUUUGACUGGGGCGGUCGCCUCCUAAAAGGUAACGGAGGCGCGCAAAGGUUUCCUCAGGCUGGUUGGAAAUCAGCCGACGAGUGCAAAAGCAGAAGGAAGCUUGACUGUGAGACCUACAAGUCGAACAGGGACGAAAGUCGGCUUUAGUGAUCCGACGGUUCUGAGUGGAAGGGCCGUCGCUCAACGGAUAAAAGUUACUCUAGGGAUAACAGGCUGAUCUCCCCCAAGAG